CUUUAUAUUACUAUAAAGGGCUAGACUAUAUCUUAAUUUCUUUAUAGAAACCAUUGUCUUAUAGUCGUUGAACUGUGUCCUAAUAAAAGGACUUGGCUGCUGAUUGUUCAUAUUAAUUCAUAUUUUCACCAUUAAAAAGGUAAUGAAUUUUCAGAAGUUUCCAGCACUUUGGCAAUGUUGCCAAUAAUGAUAUUAUUGACUAACAAAUAAUGUUAUUUGGCCCUAUUUAACUUUAGGCCAUUGA
rnacentral:ncRNA from 1 species